rnacentral:rRNA from 1 species
GCGACCCCAGGUCAGGCGGGAUCACCCGCUGAGUUUAAGCAUAUCAAUAAGCGGAGGAAAAGAAACUUACCAGGAUUCCCCUAGUAGCGGCGAGCGAACUGGGAAUAGCCCAG